rnacentral:rRNA from 1 species
AUAUACAACUUUCAGCAACGGAUCUCUUGGCUCUCGCAUCGAUGAAGAACGCAGCGAAAUGCGAUAAGUAAUGUGAAUUGCAGAAUUCAGUGAAUCAUCGAAUCUUUGAACGCACCUUGCGCUCCUUGGUAUUCCGAGGAGCAUGCCUGUUUGAGUGUCAUUAAAUUCUCAACCCCUUCCGGUUUUUUGACUGGCUUUGGGGCUUGGAUGUGGGGGAUUCAUUUGCGGGCCUCUAUAGAGGUCGGCUCCCCUGAAAUGCAUUAGUGGAACCGUUUGCGGUUACCGUCGCUGGUGUGAUAAUUAUCUACGCCAAAGACAAACUGCUCUCUGAUAGUUCUGCUUCCAACAGUCCAUUUAUUGGACAACAUUAUUAUGAACACUUGACCUCAAAUCAGGUAGGACUACCCGCUGAACUUAGGCAUAUCAAUAAGCGGAGGA